AGAAGGUGGGCAUUUUAGAUCCAAGCUCACAGCGCUGAGGCAGUAGUAUGCUGCUGGCAGCUGAAAGAGCAACACCCAGCUGAGCUGCUGCUUGGAACAUCCUUGGAGGAACCACCACAUCCCAUUGCUAUGGAGAGCAUCAACAAGAUUCCUGUGUCUGAGCACCAAGAUCUGCAGCUGCUGAUCUUUGUGAGGCUUCUGGUGUAGACAGUGGAGUCCUGGUGUGUUUACAUAUGUGUAGGAUGAGUAGAGGUUGGAGUCUUCUAGAACAUCUGAAGUCCCAGCCUUAAUGAUGUCAUGACCUGCUUUUAAAAGCUGAGUACCCUCCAUUUGCAACCCCCACACUGUGAUGCCAAUACAGUGGCCAUAGCUCCUGAUGACAUCUGCAGUAUCAACAAAAUGAGCCAUGAUCAAAAGUCCAAGGGCAGCAGGACACUGCCUGCCAGAUCUGACACCCAGGGUAUGCAGCAUCUUGGGUGAUAUUUAGAAAACUGCUGAGGGUGGAACUUGCUGGGGACGGCAACCAGCCCAGAGCCCAGUGGAAAGAGAAUGGAGUGAAGAUC